rnacentral:misc_RNA from 1 species
UUUAGUAACUUGGUGUUGAGCUGGCCCUAUCGGGCAUGUGCUCGCAUCAUAUUAUUUAUCUAUCUCUUGUGCACCUUUUGUAGUCUUUGAAGUGUUCGCAGUCAAUGCGGUUUGGGGCUUGGGCUUUGUGGUCCUUUCCCUGUUUCGCUUCAAAGGCUAUGUUUUAUACACACUAUUGAAGUUACAGAAUGUCUCUUAUUGACCUUUGAGUCAGUAAAUCAAUA